AAGAAGUCAAGGGGACGUAUGCGGCAAAGUCCCGAGGUGCGUCGUUUAGCGGCCAAACUUGUCCAGCAGACAGGGAGACGCUGAAAGCUCCCCGAAAUAAUAUAAAUAACACUGUAAAUUGAAUGGACGGGAGAUGUGAUGCAAAAUGCUGACGACUUGGAUGCUCUCAUGUCCUACGGCCUGUUUGGAAAAUGACCAGUUGAUUAGAGAAACACAAAAAUGUGCCUAUAAACCACAGAAAAAUGCCACGACACGAUUUUUAUCAGUAACAUUUAAUCGACGUUCAAUAAACACUUUGCACAAUUA